AUUUGUGUUUGGAAAGGGCUUAUUUUAGUCCUUUUUCUCUUUGCUGCUGAUGGAUUUAAAGAACCAUGGCUGUUAUUCAUAGUGAAUUUCCCUGCAGUGGGUGAUUGAGUCUGGAUCUGUUUGUGGUGAUUGAGUCUGGAUCUCGGGUAGAUGGAGAUUCAGUGCAGAAGCUGAAGGUUGACCGCCCUCUUCAGUAACUCUCAAGACCUUCCCUUGACAAAAUCAUGUUCAGACGUUAUCUACCUUUUUACAAUCCAGGAUAAAUGGGUGAGCUGUGAAUGACCAUUGGUUGAAGCAAUCAUUUUCAAACGUGUUAUGCAAUAUGUGAUUUUGUUGGUGUUUUUCCUUUUUUUUUUUUUGUCUUUUUUCCACAGGUUAUUCAUAGUGAAUUUCCCUGCAGUGGGUGAUUGAGUCUGGAUCUGUUUGUGGUGAUUGAGUCUGGAUCUCGGGUAGAUGGAGAUUCAGUGCAGAAGCUGAAGGUUGACUGUCAAGGGAAGGUCUUGAGAGUUACUGAAGAGGGCAAAAUCAUGUUCCGACGUUAUCUACCUUUUUACAAUCCAGGAUAAAUGGGUGAGCUGUGAAUGACCAUUGGUUGAAGCAAUCAUCUUCAAACGCGUUAUCCAAUAUGUGAUUUUGUUGGUGUCUUUCCUUUUUUUUUUUUGUCUUUUUUCCACAGGUUAUUCAUAGUGAAUUUCCCUGCAGUGGGUGAUUGAGUCUGGAUCUGUUUGUGGUGAUUGAGUCUGGAUCUCGGGUAGAUGGAGAUUCAGUGCAGAAGCUGAAGGUUGACUGUCAAGGGAAGGUCUAGAGCGUUACUGAAGAGGGCAAAAUCAUCUUCAGACGUUACCUACCUUUUUACAAUCCAGGAUAAAUGGGUGAGCUGUGAAUGACCAUUGGUUGAAGCAAUCAUCUUCAAAUGUGUUAUGCAAUAUGUGAUUUUGUUGGUGUCUUUCCUUUUUUUUUUUUUUUUUGUCUUUUUUUCCACAGGUUAUUCAUAGUGAAUUUCACUGCAGUGGGUGAUUGAGUCUGGAUCUGUUUGUGGUGAUUGAGUCUGGAUCUCGGGUAGAUGGAGAUUCAGUGCAGAAGCUGAAGGUUGACUAUCAAGGGAAGGUCUUGAGAGUUACUGAAGAGGGCAAAAUCAUGUUCAGACGUUACCUACCUUUUUACAAUCCAGGAUAAAUGGGUUAUUCAUAGUGAAUUUCCCUGAAGUGGGUGAUUGAGUCUGGAUCUGUUUGUGGUGAUUGAGUCUGGAUCUCGGGUAGAUGGAGAUUCAGUGCAGAAGCUGAAGGUUGACUGUCAAGGGAAGGUCUUGAGCGUUACUGAAGAGGGCAAAAUCAUGUUCAGACUUUACCUACCUUUUUACAAUCCAGGAUAAAUGGGUGAGCUGUGAAUGACCAUUGGUUGAAGCAAUCAUCUUCAAACGCGUUAUGCAAUAUGUGAUUUUGUUGGUGUCUUUGCAGUUAAUUUCAGAGUUGUCUCCAUGGAUCCCAAAUUUGUGCCUUUUUAUCAAAUGGUAAAACCAGAUGUUUCACCAUUUAGAGGUUUCUGACCAUAAAUGAAAAGCAAAUUAAAUGCAGGUUCUUUUAAGAUGCAUAAAUUUCAACUUCAAUGACUGCUUUUUAAUGCUUAUUAUUCCUGUCUGUCUUACAGUACAACGUAGUCGUGGUGGAGUUAAGUUUGCUUCGGUAUAAGACUUUGAAUGGAGCCAAUGCAGCUUUUUGCACUUUUCUUUGCAGAUAUUCUCUGAGCUGUUAAUUUAUUUUAAUAGGACAAAGAUUAUAACUGGAUUGGGCAGUGGACAAAUGUUUCCUCAAAGGGCUGAUAUUGCAGCUUUCUCACGAGUUAAACCCACAGGCUCAGAUAGUGAUGUACACACUAAAGGCUUUUAUUGCUGACCGAGAAGUCUCCCAAGUUUUUGAGGUGAAAAAGUAUAGUAAGUUGUUGUGUAAGGGCAGUUCAAUGACAGAUCUGAGGCCUUAACCUAAAGCGCUAUGUUUCUGGUUUAGUUCUGCCCAAGUUUAAUGUGACUGUAAACGCACUGUAGAACUACAGCGUUGCAGUUAUGGUACUGAAAGUUGAGUCUUGUGCCAAGUGAGUGACGCUUUAUUUUCUUCUCUUGUGGUUGAUCAGUUCUUUAUCGUGUUCUGAUGUUUCCCAUUUAUACAUAUGGCCAACCUGUACCUGGUCAAGCCUUAGUGGAAGUGUGCCGUGAUCCAUUUCCAUACUUUCUGCUUCAUAAUUUGACCAGACCGUGCCUGACUCGAACUGCAAAGAUGAAUGUCACAGGCUUUGCCUCUCUUACUGUUGAUGCGUAAGUGUUUUUCAAGACCAAAUGCAAGACACAUUUCUUGUAAAUGUGAAUGUUACUGAGGAGGGAACAGAUGUAAUGGUGUCAAAAUCUGAAAAGGGGUCUAUUACGUUUGUAGUUGGCCAAGUCACAUUUGUGGACCUCCUGGAUCAAUGCUUAAUG